UCCGGAGUCGGUCCUUUAUGGCAAGCCAAAGUGGUCAAAAUUCGCCACUUUAUUGGCGCGUUUGUAAUAAAAACGGCGUCAAAUACGCCGUUUUGUGGUAAAAAAAAACGGUGUUAAA